rnacentral:rRNA from 1 species
UACGUAGGGGGCAAGCGUUGUCCGGAUUCAUUGGGCGUAAAGAGCGUGUAGGCGGCCAGGUAGGUCGGUUGUGAAAACUGGAGGCUCAACCUUCAGAGGUCGACCGAAACCAUCUGGCUAGAGUCCGGGAGAGGAGAGUGGAAUUCCUGGUGUAGCGGUGAAAUGCGCAGAUAUCAGGAAGAACACCCGUGGCGAAAGGCGGCU